UACGUAGGGUGCGAGCGUUAAUCGGAAUUACUGGGCGUAAAGCGUGCGCAGGCGGCGCGUUUAAGACAGGUGUGAAAGCCCCGAGCUUAACUUGGGAAUUGCGCUUGUGACUGGCGAGCUGGAGUGUGGCAGAGGGAGGUGGAAUUCCACGUGUAGCAGUGAAAUGCGUAGAGAUGUGGAGGAACACCGAUGGCGAAGGCAGCCUCCUGGGCCAGCACUGACGCUCGAUGCACGAAAGCGUGGGGAGCAAACAGG
rnacentral:rRNA from 1 species